rnacentral:rRNA from 1 species
GAGUUUGAUCCUGGCUCAGGAUGAACGCUAGCGGCAGGCCUAAUACAUGCAAGUCGAACGGGUUUGAGUAGCAAUACUCAAAUCAGUGGCGCACGGGUGCGUAACGCGUAUGCAACCUACCUUAAACUGGGGGAUAGCCUUCCGAAAGGGAGAUUAAUACCGCAUAAGAUCACAUGAGGGCAUCUGAGAGUGAUUAAAGAUUUAUUGGUUUAAGAUGGGCAUGCGUGCCAUUAGCUAGUUGGUAGUGUAACGGACUACCAAGGCGACGAUGGCUAGGGGUUCUGAGAGGAUGAUCCCCCACACUGGUACUGAGAUACGGACCAGACUCCUACGGGAGGCAGCAGUAGGGAAUAUUGGGCAAUGGACGGAAGUCUGACCCAGCCAUGCCGCGUGAAGGAAGAAGGCCUUCUGGGUUGUAAACUUCUUUUAUCUGGGAAGAAAACGCCCCUGCGGGGGAAACUGACGGUACCAGAUGAAUAAGCACCGGCUAACUCCGUGCCAGCAGCCGCGGUAAUACGGAGGGUGCAAGCGUUGUCCGGAUUUAUUGGGUUUAAAGGGUGCGUAGGCGGCCCUAUAAGUCAGUGGUGAAAGCCUCCAGCUCAACUGGAGAACUGCCAUUGAUACUGUAGGGCUUGAGUACAGACGAGGUUGGCGGAAUUGAUUGUGUAGCGGUGAAAUGCAUAGAUACAAUCAAGAACACCGAUUGCGUAGGCAGCUAACUAGGCUGUAACUGACGCUGAGGCACGAAAGCGUGGGGAGCGAACAGGAUUAGAUACCCUGGUAGUCCACACUAUAAACGU